rnacentral:rRNA from 1 species
AAAUCUGGUUGAUCCUGCCAGAGGCGACCGCUAUUGGAGUUCGAUUAAGCCAUGCGAGUCGAGAGCUUUAGGAGCUCGGCAUACUGCUCAGUAACACGUGGAUAACCUGCCCUGUGCUCUGGGAUAACCUCGGGAAACUGAGAAUAAUACCGGAUAGUCCACCACGCCUGGAACGGUGGGUGGAUCAAAGGUCACGGCACAGGAUGGGUCUGCGGCGUAUCAGGUUGUAGGGGGUGUAAAGGACCCCCUAGCCAUUGACGCGUACGGGUUGUGGGAGCAAUCGCCCGGAGAUGGAUUCUGAGACACGAAUCCAGACCCUACGGGGUGCAGCAGGCGCGAAAACUUCAC